rnacentral:misc_RNA from 1 species
GAUGAAGAACGCAGCGAAAUGCGAUACGUAAUGUGAAUUGCAGAAUUCAGUGAAUCAUCGAGUCUUUGAACGCACAUUGCGCCCCCUGGUAUUCCGGGGGGCAUGCCUGUUCGAGCGUCAUUUCACCACUCAAGCCUCGCUUGGUAUUGGGCAAUGCGGUCCGCCGCCUGCCUCAAAUCGACCGGCUGGGUCUUCUGUCCCCUAAGCGUUGUGGAAACUAUUCGCUAAAGGGUGUUCGGGAGGCUACGCCGUAAAACAACCCCAUUUCUAAGGUUGACCUCGGAUCAGGUAGGGAUACCCGCUGAACUUAAGCAUAUCAAUAAGCGGAGGA